AGCAUCCUGUAUCCGUGCUGAGAUUUCGUCAGUGAUCAAACCGUUGGCGUUGGCUGAUGCAACUCCCCAAAUAAGCGAAGUG
rnacentral:pre_miRNA from 1 species